CCAAACUGUUGCCUCGGCGGGGUCACGCCCCGGGUGCGUCGCAGCCCCGGAACCAGGCGCCCGCCGGAGGAACCAACCAAACUCUUUCUGUAGUCCCCUCGCGGACGUAUUUCUUACAGCUCUGAGCAAAAAUUCAAAAUGAAUCAAAACUUUCAACAACGGAUCUCUUGGUUCUGGCAUCGAUGAAGAACGCAGCGAAAUGCGAUAAGUAAUGUGAAUUGCAGAAUUCAGUGAAUCAUCGAAUCUUUGAACGCACAUUGCGCCCGCCAGUAUUCUGGCGGGCAUGCCUGUCCGAGCGUCAUUUCAACCCUCGAACCCCUCCGGGGGAUCGGCGUUGGGGAUCGGGACCCCUCACACGGGUGCCGGCCCCGAAAUACAGUGGCGGUCUCGCCGCAGCCUCUCCUGCGCAGUAGUUUGCACAACUCGCACCGGGAGCGCGGCGCGUCCACGUCCGUAAAACACCCAA
rnacentral:rRNA from 1 species